AGCAGCCGCGGUAAUUCCAGCUCCAAUAGCGUAUAUUAAAGUUGUUGCAGUUAAAAAGCUCGUAGUUGAAUUUCGGGGUCAGCGGGUUGGUCGUGCCACUGGUAUGCACUGGCCUUGCUGAUUCCUCCCUCUUGAUGAGCCGUAAUGCCAUUAAUUUGGUGUUGCGGGGAAUCAGGACUGUUACUUUGAAAAAAUUAGAGUGUUUAAAGCAGGCAAGCGCUUGAAUACAUUAGCAUGGAAUAAUGAAAUAGGACGUUCGAUCCUAUUUUGUUGGUUUCUAGGAUUGACGUAAUGAUUAAUAGGGAUAGUUGGGGGCAUUAGUAUUCAAUUGUCAGAGGUGAAAUUCUUGGAUUUAUUGAAGACUAACUACUGCGAAAGCAUUUGCCAAGGAUGUUUUCAUUAAUCAAGAACGAAAGUUAGGGGAUCGAAGACGAUCAGAUACCGUCGUAGUCUUAACCAUAAACUAUGCCGACUAGGGAUCGGAUGAUGUUAAUUUUUUAAUGUACUCAUUC
rnacentral:rRNA from 1 species